rnacentral:rRNA from 1 species
UACGGAGGGUGCAAGCGUUAUCCGGAUUCACUGGGUUUAAAGGGUGCGUAGGUGGGCAGGUAAGUCAGUGGUGAAAUCUUUGGGCUUAACCCAGAAACUGCCAUUGAUACUAUCUGUCUUGAAUACCGUGGAGGUCAGCGGAAUAUGUCAUGUAGCGGUGAAAUGCUUAGAUAUGGCAUAGAACACCGAUUGCGAAGGCAGCUUGCUACACGAUCAUUGACACUGAGGCACGAAAGCGUGGGGAUCAAACAGG